UGGAAAGGAAAUCUGUCUUCAAUGACAAAAGGUUGUCUUUUAGGAUUUCAAUCGUCAGAGGGAAUGAGAAGACGGAAGAAUUAAAAAGGGCAGUGGAAUUAGAAGUAAACCAAAAUGAAAGGAAGGGAGAGGAAGAGAUGUUACAUAUUGUGGCAAUGUUAUUUCUAGCUAAUAUAAGAUUUACUUAUAUUACUUGCAUUAAAUCUCAGUUGUAUUCUUUAACUUUGAUGGUGUGUAAUGGGCGGAAUUUUUAUUUCUCUCUCGUAGGGACUGGAAAGGAAAUCAGUCUUCAAUGGCAAAGGGUUGUAUUUUAGGAUUUCAAUCGUCAGAGGGAAUGAGAAGACGGAAGAAUUGAAAAGGGCAGAGGAAUAAGAAGUAAACCAAAAUGAAAGGAAGGGAGAGGAAGAGAUGUUACAUAUUGUGGCAAUGUUAUUUCUAGGGACUGGAAAGGAAAUCAGUCUUCAAUGGCAAAGGGUUGUAUUUUAGGAUUUCAAUCGUCAGAGGGAAUGAGAAGACGGAAGAAUUGAAAAGGGCAGAGGAAUAAGAAGUAAACCAAAAUGAAAGGAAGGGAGAGGAAGAGAUGUUACAUAUUGUGGCAAUGUUAUUUCUAGGGACUGGAAAGGAAAUCAGUCUUCAAUGGCAAAGGGUUGUAUUUUAGGAUUUCAAUCGUCAGAGGGAAUGAGAAGACGGAAGAAUUGAAAAGGGCAGAGGAAUAAGAAGUAAACCAAAAUGAAAGGAAGGGAGAGGAAGAGAUGUUACAUAUUGUGGCAAUGUUAUUUCUAGGGACUGGAAAGGAAAUCAGUCUUCAAUGGCAAAGGGUUGUAUUUUAGGAUUUCAAUCGUCAGAGGGAAUGAGAAGACGGAAGAAUUGAAAAGGGCAGAGGAAUAAGAAGUAAACCAAAAUGAAAGGAAGGGAGAGGAAGAGAUGUUACAUAUUGUGGCAAUGUUAUUUCUAGGGACUGGAAAGGAAAUCAAUCUUCAAUGACAAAGGGUUGUCGUUUAGGAUUUCAAUCGUCAGAGGGAAUGAGAAGACGGAAGAUUUAAAAAGGGCAAAGGCAAAGGGC